AUAUCGAGUGCUAGUGCGAUAAAGAAGGGUAAAGAAGGCCGUUUUAAUAAUAAUUCAACCACUGAAAUCACACGGACCAGAUUUGGACAAUGACUUGAAAGCUAAGACAUUCGCAGUAGGCUCUACAGGAGAGAGGGAGACCCAAAACCACCUGGAGUCAUACUGAGCCUCGAGGAGGAGAUGAAGUCAGUGAACAUGACCUGGGGUACCGGUAGUUUCCAGAAGAAGGCCCAGCUCAAAACCGCCAGGACUCGGGAGUGGAGAUCCGAAUACUUCGUUGCUGCCCUCCAUAUGAGGAGGCUGUAAGUUAGAUACAUCGCAUCUACCAGCAAAGAAUGUGUGCCAGUAGAGGAAAGGAAUGUACCUGUCGCACGUGAACUCUUUAGAGGCAGUGAGGACAAGAUCUGCAAGCAAGUGAUCCUUUUUAUACAUCGCAUCUACCAGCAAAGAAUGUGUGCCAGUAGAGGAAAGGAAUGUACCUGUCGCACGUGAACUCUUUAGAGGCAGUGAGGACAAGAUCUGCAAGCAAGUGAUCCUUUUUAUACAUCGCAUCUACCAGCAAAGAUCAAGUGCCACUACAGGAAAGGAAGGUACCUGUUUCACGUUUCUUCUUCAGAGCCAGUGAGGGCCCCAAGAUCUCAAUAAAUAAUAAUUAAAAAAAGACUCCUUUAUCAUUCCUUUAAAAAUAGUACAUAUUAUUUAUUGAAGGUAAAUGCUUAGAUGCAUUAUAUUCAAAUUUUGUCUCCAAGCUAGCAUGUAAAAAUUGGAUUGACUACAUAUUUACUGUGUAAGUUAAUGAUCUUUGUUGACACAUAAUACAAGAAUUAUACACAGCAUGUUACAGUUUGUAACAUAAUUUUCUUUCAUUAAAUUCCUAGUUUAAAUACCAUAUA